UUGGUAGUUUGGUAAUGAAAGGAAUGAUUGUCUUGUGAUUGUACCUUUUGUCUAUCUGUUCUUUAGAAAUUAUCUUUUGGAACAACCGUGUUCUGCAAAGGCUUAAACUUUCCUCCAUGAUGAAAGGAGAUAAGAUAGACUGUGAGCCUCCCACUGACAGAGGCCAGAUCUCCAGAACCUUGCAGGGUGUGAGACGUAUACUAAGUGCUAAAUAAAUGUUGAACAGGUCCAAUUUUGAAUAAUCCGUUGUAAUGAGGUGGAAGCAGUUGGUGACUGACCCUUGUUUUUUUUGUGGUCACAUUCAGCUGGAGACGUCGCCAGGGUGUGAGGUGCAAAACGAUGUCACAUUGCAGAGUAACAGCAGUCAGUAUUCUCCAAAUGAGGUGAGUUUCCUGAAGGUA
rnacentral:lncRNA from 1 species